rnacentral:rRNA from 1 species
ACAUCCAGCGAACUUGGCAGAGAUGCCUUGGUGCCUUCGGGAACGCUGAGACAGGUGCUGCAUGGCUGUCGUCAGCUCGUGUUGUGAAAUGUUGGGUUAAGUCCCGNAACGAGCGCAACCCUUAUCCUUUGUUGCCAGCGAUUCGGUCGGGAACUCAAAGGAGACUGCCGGUGAUAAACCGGAGGAAGGUGGGGAUGACGUCAAGUCAUCAUGGCCCUUACGAGUAGGGCUACACACGUGCUACAAUGGCGCAUACAAAGAGAAGCGACCUCGCGAGAGCAAGCGGACCUCAUAAAGUGCGUCGUAGUCCGGAUCGGAGUCUGCAACUCGACUCCGUGAAGUCGGAAUCGCUAGUAAUCGUGGAUCAGAAUGCCACGGUGAAUACGUUCCCGGGCCUUGUACACACCGCCCGUCACGCCAUGGGAGUGGGUUGCAAAAGAAGUAGGUAGCUUAACCUUCGGGAGGGCGCUUACCACUUUGUGAUCCAUGACUGGGGUGAAGUCGUAACAAGGUAAGCGUAGCGAG